AACCUCCUUUUCUUCUUCUCAACUCAAAGAAAAAAAACACAAAAUUAUUUUUCUUCCCCAAAUUUUAAUUCUAAAGUCUGAUUUUAGUGUGGAUUUUGGGCGAGCACACCGUUGCUCUACAUUGGCUACGCCUCUGAGUAAAUUAGGGUAUCACCUUUCUCAAUAUUUUCAAGCUUCAAAUCCCGAUUUCAAGAUACGAAGUCCAUUCUCAUAGAUUAUUGAUUUAAGAUCACUGAUUGAGGUUUGGUUAUUCGUUUAGCAGAGAAGUUUACUCCGUCUCUGAGUAACACUUUAUCAGUUUUUAGUUGAUUUGGUACAAGCUCACCUAAUUUGAAAGAAUAAUCGAAAGCUUAAGGUUCACUUUCGAUAGUAGACCAACAGAGCCGCUCAAAUGGCGAUGCAGAAGGGUAUUGAAGAAGCACAUGGUGUAGGAUUAUGGCUGCACAUAACUACAAAUUUCACUUCUAGUGCAAAUUGUGAACAUCAAACGGAGAGAAAGAAGAGUUUUACAGAAGAACAUGUUGAAUAGGAAUCUUACCUAUUUAUUACCUGGGACUGCUACUGCAGCCAGAUCCAAAGAUCUAGUAUUGUUGAAGGAGAGUUUUGGAGAAUGUGAAGAACGUAUUAUACAACUCAUGCAAAGUGCAUUACCGGAUGAAGUUAUAGUAUUUGAGAUCUUAACAAGAGUAUCCCUUGGUGCUCUUUUACAGCAAUUUCAAUGGGUUUGCAGAGAUUGGCAUAACCACAUUCAUGAGAGCAAGUUUCAGUCCAUCCACUCUCAGAGGACUCCCAUUGUUGCAUCAGGUUUCUUCCUUGUCGUCUGGCUUUCUAUUCGGAACUUGUCUAACUUUAUCAGAUUCUUCCCGUUCAAAGAUGAUCCUUCUAGUCCCGCACGGAAUCCAUCUCCUUCUCUCGACUUUCUACCAUCACCUAGCAUUGAUAUUGUAGGUUCUUCUCCUUAUGGUUCUCUGCUUUGUUGUGUAACUCUGGAUAAAUCACAGACAAGAAAGAGUAUUCCAGUUUUCUACAUAUGUAAACCUGCCACUCGGGAAUGGAGAAAGUUACAAACCCUAGAACCAAAUUUCGAAAUGUGGGAAUGCGAAUAGUGGUGACACAAACUUACCCUACGUUGCAGUACAAGAUAAUUCGUAUUUCAAAUACCUGGGGGGUGUAUUUUGAGUACCAUUGCGAAAUGUUUGAUUCAGUCACUUGGACUUGGAAGAGAUUGGCUGAUUUGAAAACUUCUGGUAGCUUGGUCGAUACAUUUGGUGGUGUUUAAUUAAUGGGUGUUUACAUUGGAUUAACAACUGUCGUCAAAUCUAUGUUCUUUCCAUAGACCAAGAGAAGGGGAUUGCGGGUAUCCAACUUCCGCCUGAUAUUGUAGAAAGUGAAUUACAUCUCAACUAUUUGUUAAUUUUAAUUGAUGGAAAGAUUGGUGUUCUGAUCAGUAAUAAGGAGUGGACUGAACUUUGGGUACUAGAGAAUUACUACAGCCAUACAAGCUGGAAGAGAAAGUACCGCAAGGAUUUGAAAAAACUCAAUCGUGAAGUUGGGGAUGUGUGUGUACCAAUAGCUAUGUCAUCAACCGGUGUAAUCUUUAUGGUUUGUCAGCGUCCGGACAGCUGUGCCAUAUUGUACAACAGCAAUGAUGAUACUUGCACCAUUUCGUCACCCUUUGCAUUAGAUGCGAAAUCGGUUCUUUGUUUUCCAUUUGAAUCAAUGUUCUGUUACAUAUAGUUCCACCUCUUGUACUGUUUGAUGCCUUCUGAGAGGAGCAAGUUAUUUUUUGGAAGGCUUUGGGACUGUCUGAUGAGUAAGUUGCUUGGUUCUAACCUAACAGACAAUGUUCAGAACGUUCUUCUUACUGUUGAUAUACCCAUUGUGAUCAAGCGUUGGAUUCUCCGUUUUCACUUCUUUCUGGUUCAGUGCUGGAUUUUUUACAAACCAGUGAUGAAAUAAACUAGUUUCUUGUUUAGACCCUUACCCUACAGUUGGAUUUGUUUGUGGUUGUUGGUGAAAUUUUGGGUUCGUGUGUGGUUUCUGUUCAAUUUUGAUCAAUGCUAAUCUGUUUGACUGAGUACGUAGUAACGAAUAUAUGUGUACAACUUGUUCAGUUAAGAGCUUAAUUUGUCAGGCAUUCAAUGGGUCUAUCAAUUGUUUAACAUCACAGCUACUGGUUGGAACAAAGACCUUCUUCAGAAGCUGUUUGAGCCUAUACAAGUUGCAGCCAUUCUAUCAAUCCCUAUUGAUUCUCAACAUCCAGACUCACUGGUGUGGCCACUCACCUCUUCAAGCAGAUUUACAACAAAAUCAACAGACACUAAGCUGUGUCAGGAUGAUACUCUCCAGGUUCAACCUCUCCCUAUCAAUGCUGGAUAUUGGUUAUCUUUAUGGGAACUUUCAUUCCAUACAAUUUGCAGCUCUAACUUAAGAAGAUUUUGCAUAAUAUUCCCCCAGUAUGGCAGAGGAUCCAACAUCUCAUAUAUGUGUCCUGCACAUACUGUGUUCUGUCUUAUGUGCUAUCAUCAGCAAGUCGAAGACUUGGACCAUGUAUUUGUUCCCUGCCAGUACUCAAAAGUUAUAUGGACUACCACUUAUCCUUCUAUCUUCCCCAACUUCAGCAGCACACUACCAUAACAAAGCUGGAUGAUGUCAUGGAAUGAUCCUCUCCAACCACUCAACUUUCAUACCCAAGCUGAAGCUUAUCCCCUAUGGUUAGCUGUAAGAUGGAUUCACCCACUUAAGUUUCAGCAAGUCAUCUUUGAGACAGACAGUAAGGUUUUAUUUCUGGCUAUCACUCAACCUCAUCUUCUGCCACCUCAAAGGAGUAAAAGUAUUGCAAGAUAUUGGUUAAAAGUUGUUUUCAGUUCAGAUCAUCCUACUUGGAAUUGAGUGUUUGUAAAUGGGGUGUGCAACAAACCUGCUGACAAACAGGUUUCUUUUUAUGCACUUCACCAACUAUGGCUGCAAUUUUAUGGAAAUCUUCCCAAGCAGCUCCAAAAUUGGUGCUUGUAAAUUUGUGCUUGAAUUGCUUCUAAACCUUCCUUGAUAAUUGGUGCUUGUAAAUUUGUGUGGAGUGUGUAUUAUUAUGAUUCAGGAAAUUUCCUGGUUAUGUAAAUCUCAAGUCAAGAGUGCAAUGCUAUUUGAUUUCGGACCAAGAA